rnacentral:lncRNA from 1 species
GUGCCAGAGACUUUCUGGGUGGGUGUGGAGCUGGGCUCAGCUCGAGGUGAAGAGGUGCAAACAGAACUUUGUACCCGGAAAUACUGGUGUCCAAAGGGGAGUGUUGCAGGGGAAGAGCCGAGCUCCGCCGUGUCCUGGCAGAUUGUUUGCCACCCCAAGAUUCCGGGCAGAUCAGCUGGAUCAAGCUGCUGUCUAAAAGGACCUCAUGCUGACACUGCUCACUUGGCCCUAAAUUCAAGGCCACCUUCUCAGGGGCUGCGGGGGUGAGGAGCCUGGAUGGCCAGAACGAGACAACUCUGACAGUGAGUAGAGUGACGUCAGAUACAUCCGCGUGCCUGUCCUGUUCCCACCGCUCACUGGUUAUGUGGCCCUUGGGUGCCUCACGGGGCCCCUCCUGGCC